rnacentral:rRNA from 1 species
CACAUGCAAGUCGAGCGGUAGAGAGAAGCUUGCUUCUCUUGAGAGCGGCGGACGGGUGAGUAAUGCCUAGGAAUCUGCCUGGUAGUGGGGGAUAACGUUCGGAAACGGACGCUAAUACCGCAUACGUCCUACGGGAGAAAGCAGGGGACCUUCGGGCCUUGCGCUAUCAGAUGAGCCUAGGUCGGAUUAGCUAGUUGGUGAGGUAAUGGCUCACCAAGGCGACGAUCCGUAACUGGUCUGAGAGGAUGAUCAGUCACACUGGAACUGAGACACGGUCCAGACUCCUACGGGAGGCAGCAGUGGGGAAUAUUGGACAAUGGGCGAAAGCCUGAUCCAGCCAUGCCGCGUGUGUGAAGAAGGUCUUCGGAUUGUAAAGCACUUUAAGUUGGGAGGAAGGGUUGUAGAUUAA